rnacentral:snRNA from 14 species
GUUCUGCAAUUUUAGCACACAUUCUAAAGUCUGAAGGCUACUGAGCAGAAUAUCCUGGCCCCUGUCCAAGGACAAACAAAUCCAAGAAGCAAAGUACAUCUUC